rnacentral:rRNA from 1 species
AGAGUUUGAUUCUGGCUCAGGAUGAACGCUAGCUACAGGCCUAACACAUGCAAGUCGAGGGGUAGCGUGAGGGAAACUUGCUCCCUUGACGACGACCGGCGAAUGGGUGUGUCACGCGUGUCCAACCUGCCCCGUGACCCGGGGAUAGCCCUUGGAAAUGAGGAUUAAGACCCGAUAUGUGGCGCUCCCGGCAUGGCGGCGCCAUGAAGCAGGCACGGGAUGGGGACGCGUCGGAUUAGCUUGACGGCGGGCAACGGCCCACCGUGGCGACGAUCCGCAGGGGUUCUGAGAGGAAGGUCCCCCACACUGGCACUGAGACACGGGCCAGACUCCUACGGGAGGCAGCAGGUGAGGAAUAUUGGGUCAAUGGGCGGGAGCCUGAACCAGCCAAAGUAGCGUGCAGGACGACGGCCCUACGGGUUGUAAACUGCUUUUUCCGGGAGGAUAAAGUGAGCCACGCGUGGUUCAUUGCAGGUAUCCCGGGAAUAAGGACCGGCUAAUUCCGUGCCAGCAGCCGC